UACAGAGGGUGCAAACGUUGCUCGGAAUUAUUGGGCGUAAAGCGCGUGUAGGCGGCUUGUUAAGUCGGUUGUGAAAACCCAUGGCUCAACCAUGGAAGGGCGUCCGAAACUGGCAAGCUAGAGUCCCGACGAGGAUGGCGGAAUUCCCAGUGUAGAGGUGAAAUUCGUAGAUAUUGAGAGGAACACCGGUGGCGAAGGCGGCCAUCUGGGAGGGCACUGACGCUGAGACGCGAAAGCGUGGGGAGCAAACAGG
rnacentral:rRNA from 1 species